rnacentral:rRNA from 1 species
UACGGGGGGAGCAAGCGUUGUUCGGAUUUACUGGGCGUAAAGGGCGCGUAGGCGGUCGUGACAAGUCACUUGUGAAAUCUCCGGGCUUAACUCGGAACGGUCAAGUGAUACUGUCGUGCUAGAGUACAGAAGGGGCAACUGGAAUUCUCGGUGUAGCGGUGAAAUGCGUAGAUAUUGGGAGGAACACCAGUGGCGAAGGCGGCUCACUGGACCGGUACUGACGCUGAUGCGCGAAAGCGUGGGGAGCAAACGGGG